rnacentral:rRNA from 1 species
UACGGAGGGGGCUAGCGUUGUUCGGAAUUACUGGGCGUAAAGCGCACGUAGGCGGCUUUGUAAGUUAGAGGUGAAAGCCCGGGGCUCAACUCCGGAAUUGCCUUUAAGACUGCAUCGCUAGAAUUGUGGAGAGGUAAGUGGAAUUCCGAGUGUAGAGGUGAAAUUCGUAGAUAUUCGGAAGAACACCAGUGGCGAAGGCGACUCACUGGACAGAUAUUGACGCUGAGGUGCGAAAGCGUGGGGAGCAAACAGG